GAAAGGGGCCGAGCCUCGUUCCCACGCUGACAUGUCAUUGGCUGCCGCGGGCGUGGGAGGGCGUGUCAGCGUGCGUGAGGCCGCUCCCUUAAACGCACAGCUCCUGGAGAGGUCUUGGCCUGCGACUUCUGCAGCCUGCCUUCCCCGCUGCGGAGGAGGGGUGGGUGUGGAGGUCUUGAAGAGGGAUCAGGAUAUCUGAGCGGGUCAGCAUAGCAUCCACUAAGCAAAUGAUCAGGAUGUCAAUAGAUUCUAAUUUUCGGCUGCCCUAGGUCUUUGCUGCCGUCUGGCUUUCUCUAGUUGCGGAGAGCGGGGCCUACUGUUUGUUGCGGUGCUCCUACGGCUUCUCACUGCAGUCAGCGGCUUCUCUCGUUGACCAGCGCAGCUCCGGGGCGCUGAGCUUCAGUAGUUACGGCGCUGGGGCUUAGUUGCUCUGCAGACAUGUGGGAUCUUCCCCGAACGGAGAUGGAACCCAUGUACCCUGCAUUGGCAGACAGACUUCCAACCACUGGACCACUAGGGAAAUCCCAGAAAUAUUUCUUUUUUGUUUGUUUGUUGCUUUCUGUCCCUCAGUUACAAAAAGAAAACCCAUCAAGUCAAUCGUGCAUCAUACCCAAAAAGUACUGCCUGGCACACAGUAGAAACACACUCCUAGGCAGUGAAGAAAUAAAAGAAUUCAUCCUAACAAAUUCUCUCUGAUGAAUUUACUAAACUGGAAGAAGUUGGUUUUAGACAGACAUGAAGAGGGUUGCCUUGCUGUUCUCCUGAAAUUAUCACAAUAUAGUUAAUUGGCUAUUCCCUAAUCCAAAA